CACUCUUCACUGAGGACACACACAGCUGUGGAGAUUGCCUGCUGUGUCUCAUUACUUUUAUACUUGGGAUAUUCAUCAUACUCAGCCUAUACUUUUUAUGGACUAACGAGGUCUCUAUGGAUACAUCACUACACCUAUGCCAUGCCUGCUCUCCGUUUGGCCCCUGGUGGGGUCCCUUUCUGACUCCGCCCCCUCAGGUCCCGGGUGAAGCACCUGCUGCCGCCGUCUUGGGGCCGCACACCUGUAGCCAUGGUCAAGCUCAGUGGUACAGUGUUACACACCCCUGAAGAGCGAGCUGUAUCUUGCGAAACUAGUCGGGUAGUAUGAUGCCCGUGUACUCUGACCAAUACUACAUUUAUGUACCAAUAUUUAUUGUUUAUGUAUCUUUUUAUUGGCAACUGUUGGUGUUAUCUAUGCAUGUAAAGAAUUUUACUUGAAUAAAUUAUAUACUGUAAUAACUAUUGUUAUUCUUACUGGCGAUAACGG